GACGAACGCUGGCGGCGUGCCUAAUACAUGCAAGUAGAACGCUGAAGGAGGAGCUUGCUUCUCUGGAUGAGUUGCGAACGGGUGAGUAACGCGUAGGUAACCUGCCUGGUAGCGGGGAUAACUAUUGGAAACGAUAGCUAAUACCGCAUAAUAGUAGAUGUUGCAUGACAUUUGCUUAAAAGGUGCAAUUGCAUCACUACCAGAUGGACCUGCGUUGUAUUAGCUAGUUGGUGAGGUAACGGCUCACCAAGGCGACGAUACAUAGCCGACCUGAGAGGGUGAUCGGCCACACUGGGACUGAGACACGGCCCAGACUCCUACGGGAGGCAGCAGUAGGGAAUCUUCGGCAAUGGACGGAAGUCUGACCGAGCAACGCCGCGUGAGUGAAGAAGGUUUUCGGAUCGUAAAGCUCUGUUGUAAGAGAAGAACGAGUGUGAGAGUGGAAAGUUCACACUGUGACGGUAUCUUACCAGAAAGGGACGGCUAACUACGUG
rnacentral:rRNA from 1 species